rnacentral:rRNA from 1 species
AAUCUUGCGCAAUGGGCGAAAGCCUGACGCAGCCAUGCCGCGUGAAUGAUGAAGGUCUUAGGAUUGUAAAGCUCUGUCCUAUGGGAAGAAACGGACGGUACCUUAGGAGGAAGCCCCGGCUAACUACGUGCCAGCAGCCGCGGUAAUACGUAGGGGGCGAGCGUUAUCCGGAAUUAUUGGGCGUAAAGGGUGCGUAGGCGGCCUUUUAAGUCAGAUGUGAAAGGCUACGGCUUAACCGUAGUUAGCAUUUGAAACUGAAAGACUUGAGUUAAGGAGAGGAAAGUGGAAUUCCUAGUGUAGCGGUGAAAUGCGUAGAUAUUAGGAGGAAUACCAGUGGCGAAGGCGACUUUCUGGACUUAUACUGACGCUGAGGAACGAAAGCGUGGGGAGCAAACAG